CUGUAACUGUAAUUAAAGUCAGUAAGUUUACACUCCGAAUAAAACUAAUGAAGUUUAUUUUUGACGUAUUUUGAAAUCAAGUUUAUAUUUGACAAAAUUGUUUUGUUGCAUGAUACGUGUUCAAUUUCUUCCUAUUUGUAAAACAUUGUUAGAAGUUUCAAGAACGUUUUUAAUGUUGAUGGUGAUGAAAUCAAGUUGAAUUUAGUGGACAUCUAAAUUUACAAAGUGGUGCUUGCAUGUUCUUUGAAUCUACUAAAAGAUUGUUCUCAACAACAAUACUGCAACAAAUGGAGAAGACUUCAUGUUAAUGGAUGACAAAUGCAGGCCACAUUGUGCUAACUUGGUGAAUGAUUUCAUUUUUGAGGAAGAAAUUAUAUGAAUGGAUUUGGCCAGUGUGUUCUCCGGACAUUAACCCUAUCGAGCAUGUUUAAGACAUUCUAGGUAGACUAAUUGCUACACGCUUACCUACACCGCAAACUCUCCAAGAACUAGAAAGAGCUCUUCUGGAGGAGUGGGACAGAAUACCCCAGCACACCUUAUUAAUAACCUCAUUGACUCAAUGCCUCAAAGAUGUUCAAUGUUGCUGUCCGUCUGAGGAAACCAUAAAAUGAUUUUCUCUUAAGGAAACACCUUUUUUUAUUUGUUUUCUCAUGUGCUCAAAUUGUGUUUGUUUCUUUUUGUACCCAAAAGCUCAAUAAAACGUAUUUAUUUUUC